rnacentral:lncRNA from 1 species
CUCGUGAUAUUCCUUAAUCAAUUGCACUACACAAUGCAACUUUUCAUUCAUGAUGACACGAGGUCCCACAAUAAAGUGCACAGGUAAAUGAAAUAAAAACUUGAUAAAAUGCGUGUUUUCAUGAUCCUAUAGGGAAAAAUGUAAUUAUAAGUAUUGAAUGCUUUUUUUUGUAACUUUAUAUGGUUGUAAAAGCGUUGACCGUGCGCACAUUCAUACAAAAUGUACUUCAGUCAACGCUUUUACACCCCAAUAAAUUUACAAAAAAGAGAAUUCAAUUCUUAAUUAAAU